rnacentral:pre_miRNA from 1 species
AGGAGGAACAGCCCCAGUGGCGGGGCAGCUCUGGAAACCUGGAUUCAGCUCCAGAGUCUCCGUCUGCAGGGCCUGGAGGCUCCGGGCGGGG